UGCAGGCUGCUGCUGAGUUGCACCAGUAGUUCUAUUCCCAGUUCCUGCAGGAGGGCUUUUCUGGGCAAACACGAUUCCAACAGUGCUCACCUUACCUGCAGCAGUGCAGAGGCCAAACGAGAACACUGAGUCAGUCCUCUCUUGGUUCCUAGGAUGGUUCUGGUGGCCCUUUGGUUUGCAGCAUGGGAAAUGGACCAUUCACACUUCCCAGCAUUGUCAGAUGGGGUGUUGGCUGUGCCAGCCCAGAGAAACCAGGGGUGUACUCAAGAGUGAGGAUUUUCCUGAACUGGAUGGGACUGCUGCAGAAAGGACAAACUUAUCAAUGCCUCAAAAAUUCCCAAGGAGAUGAGCUUGACAUGAGUGUCAUCCUUCCAGACUGGGAAGGAAUCAUGCAGUCACCCCUGUGAGACACAAAUGCCACCAGCUGCCACAGGAGACUUGUAGCCCCAUUAAAAUCAGUUAUUCCCCCUGAAGCCCUGAACUUUCUGGACUGAAAGAAAUCUGUCUAAUUGUCAUGGCCAACUGAUGGUGUGUGAAGGAUUUGGACUAACCAAAGAGUUACUAGGCAACUUCUGUGGUGACACUCCUGUCUAUCCCAUAGAAUCGUGAGGUUCAGCAGUGACAGUGACUUCCCUCAAAGGGUUGUGGCAGCCAUGAAAGGCGUUCUCUCAACUUGCUCUACUCACAAUACAUAAUCUGGUAAGUGUGUUAUGAUUUUGGGGUGAGGAUGGAGAAGUCGAGCUGUUCUAUUCAAAAAAAUUAAUCUGUCUGUUCUGAAGAGAAAAGGCCAUAGAAGAGAUCUAUUUGAGAUCUUGAGUGUUGAUGAUUGAAUGCAUAAGUAGUGGUCUAAUUACUGUACUCAUUUCCCAAAAACCUGUAAAAAUGAGAUACUGUCUUAGCUGUUGCUCUCUCUCUGUUCCUUUGCAUUCUGCUCUACAAAACCAGAACCUGUCCCCCCACUCCAUCUGUUAAUGCUUCUGUACUCUCUCUUCUGCUCCUUCCCCCAGUUAGGCACUAAUUCUGCCAGAUGCUGCUGUUAUCACUGCUCACCU